rnacentral:rRNA from 1 species
AGUGAACGCUGGCGGUAGGCCUAACACAUGCAAGUCGAACGGCAGCACAGUAAGAGCUUGCUCUUACGGGUGGCGAGUGGCGGACGGGUGAGGAAUACAUCGGAAUCUACUUUUUCGUGGGGGAUAACGUAGGGAAACUUACGCUAAUACCGCAUACGACCUACGGGUGAAAGCAGGGGAUCUUCGGACCUUGCCCGAUUGUAUGAGCCGAUGUCGGAUUAGCUAGUUGGCGGGGUAAAGGCCCACCAAGGCGACGAUCCGUAGCUGGUCUGAGAGGAUGAUCAGCCACACUGGAACUGAGACACGGUCCAGACUCCUACGGGAGGCAGCAGUGGGGAAUAUUGGACAAAGGGCGCAAGCCUGAUCCAGCCAUACCGCGUGGGUGAAGAAGGCCUUCGGGUUGUAAAGCCCUUUUGUUGGGAAAGAAAAGCAGCAGGUUAAUACCCCGCUGUUCUGACGGUACCCAAAGAAUAAGCACCGGCUAACUUCGUG